rnacentral:rRNA from 1 species
GGGUUAAGUCCCGCAACGAGCGCAACCCUUUUCCUUUGUUGCCAGCGAUUUGGUCGGGAACUCAAAGGAGACUGCCAGUGAUAAACUGGAGGAAGGUGGGGAUGACGUCAAGUCAUCAUGGCCCUUACGACCAGGGCUACACACGUGCUACAAUGGCGCAUACAAAGAGAAGCGACCUCGCGAGAGCAAGCGGACCUCAUAAAGAGCGACGUAGUCCGGAUUGGAGUCUGCAACUCGACUCCAUGAAGUCGGAAUCGCAAGUAAUCGUGGAUCAGAAUGCCACGGUGAAUACGUUCCCGGGCCUUGUACACACCGCCCGUCACACCAUGGGAGUGGGUUGCAAAAGAAGUAGGUAGCUUAACCUUCGGGAGGGCGCUUACCACUUUGUGAUUCAUGACUGGGGUGAAGUCGUAA